AUUGAACGCUGGCGGCAGGCUUAACACAUGCAAGUCGAGCGGGGGAAGGUAGCUUGCUACCGGACCUAGCGGCGGACGGGUGAGUAAUGCUUAGGAGUCUGCCUAUUAGUGGGGGACAACAUCUCGAAAGGGAUGCUAAUACCGCAUACGUCCUACGGGAGAAAGCAGGGGAUCUUCGGACCUCGCGCUAAGAGAUGAGCCUUAGUCGGAUUAGCUAGUUGGUGGGGUAAAGGCCUACCAAGGCGACGAUCGGUAGCGGGUCUGAGAGGAUGAUCCGCCACACUGGGACUGAGACACGGCCCAGACUCCUACGGGAGGCAGCAGUGGGGAAUAUUGGACAAUGGGGGGAACCCUGAUCCAGCCAUGCCGCGUGUGUGAAGAAGGCCUUAUGGUUGUAAAGCACUUUAAGCGAGGAGGAGGCUACUCUAGUUAAUACCUAGGGAUAGUGGACGUUACUCGCAGAAUAAGCACCGGCUAACUCUGUGCCAGCAGCCGCCGUAA
rnacentral:rRNA from 1 species